rnacentral:rRNA from 1 species
AUUGAACGCUGGCGGCAGGCCUAACACAUGCGAGUCGAGCGGAUGAAGGGAGCUUGCUCCUGGAUUCAGCGGCGGACGGGUGAGUAAUGCCCAGGAAUCUGCCUGGUAGUGGGGGAUAACGUCCGGAAACGGGCGCUAAUACCGCAUACGUCCGGGGGGGGAAAGGGGGGGAUCUUGGGACCCCAGGCUACCAGAUGAGCCUAGGUCGGAUUAGCUAGUUGGUGGGGUAAAGGCCUACCAAGGCGACGAUCCGUAACUGGUCUGAGAGGAUGAUCAGUCACACUGGAACUGAGACACGGUCCAGACUCCUACGGGAGGCAGCAGUGGGGAAUAUUGGACAAUGGGCGAAAGCCUGAUCCAGCCAUGCCGCGUGUGUGAAGAAGGUCUUCGGAUUGUAAAGCACUUUAAGUUGGGAGGAAGGGCAGUAAGUUAAUACCUUGCUGUUUUGACGUUACCAACAGAAUAAGCACCGGCUAACUUCGUG